UACUCACAUGACCAUCUCUACUUUUCCAUUAUAAAUCCAGAUCUACACAGCAAGCCAAGCAUAAUAAAUCAUAUAUCAAUGGAGAAAAUCAGCAUCUUUCUCAUCCUUCUCCUCAUCUUGGUUCCAUUUAAAGAGGCGGAGGGGAGGAACUGUGAGUCACAGAGCCAUAAGUUCGAAGGCAGGUGCAUGAGCAACCAUAACUGCGGUCUCGUUUGCAGAAACGAAGGCUUUACCAGUGGCGUUUGUCGUGGUGCUCGUGGACGAUGCUUUUGCACCAAAACUUGUUAAUUACUUCUUACUUCACUUCACUUCACUUCAAUCUAAUAACUAGUGGAGUGGAGUGGAUCCACGCUCGAUCGCUGGAUGUUAUGUUAUCACUAGUUAGUUGUUUGUAAAAUAAAUUUGAUUGAUUCCUAUGGACUUGUUUUUCUUUUA